GGCUCAGACAGCCAGGAUGUUGGCUUAGAAGCAGCCAUCAUUUAAAGAAAGCGUAAUAGCUCACUGGUCGAGUCGGCCUGCGCGGAAGAUUUAACGGGGCUAAGCUAUACACCGAAGCUGCGGCAAUAUGAACUUGUUCAUAUUGGGUAGGGGAGCGUUCUGUAAGCCGUUGAAGGUGCAUUGUAAAGUGUGCUGGAGGUAUCAGAAGUGCGAAUGCUGACAUGAGUAACGAUAAAGGGAGUGAAAAACUCCCUCGCCGGAAGAUCAAGGGUUCCUGUCCAACGUUAAUCGGGGCAGGGUAAGUCGACCCCUAAGGCGAGGCCGAAAGGCGUAGUCGAUGGGAAACGGGUUAAUAUUCCCGUACUUCUUAUAAUUGCGAUGGAGGGACGGAGAAGGCUAGGUGAGCCUGGCGACGGUUGUCCAGGUCCAAGUAUGUAGGCUGAUGGUUUAGGCAAAUCCGGACCAUCUUAAGGCUGAGAUACGAUGUCGAGCUACUACGGUAGUGAAGUCAUUGAUGCCAUGCUUCCGGGAAAAGCUUCUAAGCUUCAGAUUAUAAGAAAUCGUACCCCAAACCGACACAGGUGAUCAGG
rnacentral:rRNA from 1 species